rnacentral:tRNA from 1 species
GCCCCAUUGGCGCAGUCGGUUAGCGCGUCGUACUUAUAAGUGAUCGAGAAAUGCGAAGGUCAGCAGUUCGAGCCUGCUAUGGGGCA